rnacentral:lncRNA from 1 species
CUAGUCGAAGAAAUCGACCCCGAUACGUCUUUUAAAGCCUGUCAUUGGAUUGCGGCCCAUGCUAGAGCACUGUCUCAGAGGUUUUAGCCAAACGAAUCAACACCAUUACUUAUGCCUUUUAAAAUCUGGUACUUAUUCUAUUGGUCUCUUUUGCUGAAACCAUUAGGUUAUGGGGAUGUAAACAAACUGACACUGGUUACCAAGCAGUGUGUGGUUUGACACACAUACAGGCAUGAAGACUCAAACAUAUAUACAUGAUGGGCUUCCUCACAGUUUCUGUCAACUGGAUUUACUCACAACCCAUUGAUCGACCUGGAAGGCAUUUGCCCAAGAUGCCCUGCAAUGGGACUGAACCUGAAGCCAUGGGGUUGGGAAGCAGGCUUCUAAACCACUGGAAUUUCUUUCAACAAACAGAAUGUUACACCUUUUUGUGCAUGACCCUAAUUAUGGACUGGGUAUAAGCUGAGUGAUCUUCAUGGAAAUAUUCUGUUGAAAUCUUUGGGAUUGGUGUAACGAUAGGCAGUAAUUUAUUUUCCUUUGAAAUUUCAAACUGCAUCCCAAAUAGGGAUCAUUAUAUGAACCCUCAUAAGGAUCCAUAUAAAGAUAAUUAAACAGAUCCUUAUACAGGCUCAUAUGAUGGGUUUUUCAGAUUCCUUGCCAUUUGUUUUCUGUCUUUUACAAUUUUUGCAGCAAUCAGUGAGUUUGAUUUAUCAACAUCAUUCACUUUUGUCAUUUGGAAUUAGGUGAGCAUAUCAACUAAUUUUCCAUCAUUAAAUUCAUGAUACAAAAAUCAUCCAAUACUUCCACAUCCUACUAAAAAGAUGAUAGUGUGUCCAACUUUAGGUUAUUCUUCUUCUUUCAGCUUCACUAUUCAGAAAUCCUCCAGACAAAAUGGUUUUGCAAUAUGCAUUCAAGAUAAUUUUUCUUGAUUCCACAAAUUGCAAUUACCUUCCCACAGUGCAGAAUUUUAAAUUUUUUUCCAUCCACGUUGCACCGUAAGUUAGUUGUUUUCUAUAUCAUCCAGUAUUUUAUAUGCAAAUUGUUGAACCAAUUUACCUAAAAUUCCAAAUUAUGCUCUCAUCUGACAGUUGAACCAGGUUAGUCAUAUCGAGUGGUAAAAACAAAACUUAAACAUUAAAGAGUUCUACAUUAGAGGGAUGGGAUUACUAGUUAUCCAUUAGAAACAAACAUUUUGUAGUCAAUAUUCUGUUUUUUUUUUAAAUAAAUUUCAGCUUCAGGAAUUAAGUUCUGAUAAAAUCAUUUUCAAAUAUUGUAAUAGUUAUCUAUGAUUUGCAGAAUGUUUAGAACCUUCUUCAGUUACUUUAGCAAACCAUGGCAGGAUUUCUCCAGCAGAAUCUCCAUGAGGUAUAUGUCCUCAGCCAUACAGCAGUUCAGAUAUACUUUAACUAAAAUGUAGGAUAACAUAACCAGCAUAAGCAGAGUGGUACACAUCGACAGAAAUACAUCGAGACUUGUAUGUCAGAUAGUAAAACAUUUUGAAAAUUAAGAUUUGCUUGAAUGAACAAGAGGCAACAACUGCAAACAAUGAAACAAACUUUGGUUGAUAAUUAUAUGAUAUUGGUAAGCAUGGCUGUGGCUAAGAAGCUCGCUUUGUAACCACGUGAUUUUGGGCUCAAUCCCAGUGCAAGGCACCUUGGAUGUGUUAUUCUACCAUAGCCCUGAGAUAACCAAUGCCUUAUGAGUGAAUUUGGCUGAUGGAAACUAUGUGGAAGCUCAUCAUAUAUGUAUGUCUG